CAGCCGCCACGGUAAAACGAAGGGUGCAAGCGUUACUCGGAAUUACUGGGCGUAAAGCGUGCGUAGGUGGUGGUUUAAGUCCGUUGUGAAAGCCCUGGGCUCAACCUGGGAAUUGCAGUGGAUACUGGGUCACUAGAGUGUGGUAGAGGAUAGUGGAAUUUCCGGUGUAGCAGUGAAAUGCGUAGAGAUCGGAAGGAACAUCUGUGGCGAAGGCGGCCCCCUGGACGAAGACUGACGCUCAGGUGCGAAAGCGUGGGGAGCGAACGGGAUUAGAUACCCCUGUAGUCCCUGUCUCUUAUAC
rnacentral:rRNA from 1 species